UUAGUGGCGAACGGGUGAGUAACACGUGAGUAACCUGCCCUUGACUCUGGGAUAAGCCUGGGAAACUGGGUCUAAUACUGGAUAUGACUUCUCACCGCAUGGUGGGGGGUGGAAAGAUUUAUUGGUCUUGGAUGGACUCGCGGCCUAUCAGCUUGUUGGUGAGGUAAUGGCUCACCAAGGCGACGACGGGUAGCCGGCCUGAGAGGGUGACCGGCCACACUGGGACUGAGACACGGCCCAGACUCC
rnacentral:rRNA from 1 species